rnacentral:rRNA from 1 species
CGGGACUCGGGGCCAACCUCCCACCCGUGUUGCCCGAACCUAUGUUGCCUCGGCGGGCCCCGCGCCCGCCGACGGCCCCCCUGAACGCUGUCUGAAGUUGCAGUCUGAGACCUAUAACGAAAUUAGUUAAAACUUUCAACAACGGAUCUCUUGGUUCCGGCAUCGAUGAAGAACGCAGCGAAAUGCGAUAACUAAUGUGAAUUGCAGAAUUCAGUGAAUCAUCGAGUCUUUGAACGCACAUUGCGCCCUCUGGUAUUCCGGAGGGCAUGCCUGUCCGAGCGUCAUUGCUGCCCUCAAGCCCGGCUUGUGUGUUGGGCCCCGUCCCCCCCGCCGGGGGGACGGGCCCGAAAGGCAGCGGCGGCACCGCGUCCGGUCCUCGAGCGUAUGGGGCUUCGUCACCCGCUCUAGUAGGCCCGGCCGGCGCCAGCCGACCCCCAACCUUUAAUUAUCUCAGGUUGACCUCGGAUCAGGUAGGGAUACCCGCUGAACUUAAGCAUAUCAAUAAACGGAG